UGUUGUUCUCUGUUGUUCUCGGUUGUUUCUCUGUUGUUCUCUGUUGUUCUCUGUUGUUCUUGGUUGUUUCUCUGUUGUUCUCGGUUGUUUCUCUGAACUUGCCUUUAGCACAAAUCACAGUGUCACAAGUCUAAAAACUAUUGUCACCCCUGAUGAAAAUGAACCAAAAGUAAUAAUAAUCCCUAAUAAUAAAUGGGUUUCCCCCAAAAAUUAUACAUCAAAAUUAGAGGCACCUCUGUAUUCAGUAGGUUGUCCACACUCCCCUUGACACAGAGCCUUUUCAUACUUCAUGAGACUGGAGAACACAAUGGAAGGGAUUUUAGACCUGCGUUUCUCAAACACCGGUCAGUGGACCUGCACUGGGACAUGAGUCUGGUCCAUGCGUCACCGGCUUGUCUGCCUGUUGCGGUCUGGACCCGUGCAGCAUGCAUGUCAGACUGCCCUUCAAAGGCAGGUCCUGGAGACUGUAGGAGUUGUAGAAUAAUGGAGCAGAAUGGCUUCUGGGCCCGACUCGCCAGGCAAUAAAACCAGAUCCCUCCAGGAACACACAGCCCCACCAACUGUCCUGUCUGUCGUUGUGUCUGACGGUCUGUCUUCUCGUCGGGUUUGGACCCAACAGGAGUUAGACAGACCCAGGAGCUGAUCUCAUCUCUGCAGACAUCAUGGCUGACACGCCCUUCUCUUUGAUCUCGCUGACUCCAGGGGUUUGUUUUAUUGUGGUUGUUUAAGCCUUUGAUGGAUAGCCUUUCCCUAUGGCUCUGUCUGAAACAAACGCUCGCCCAGGAACUCACUGAGGGGAACUAAUGUACUGUUAUCGUGGCAGUAAACACAACAGGCUUUUGAAUAGCAGCAAGUAAAUGCGUGCACGAAACAAUCACAUUAGGGGCUGGGGAGCUCAGGGGCAAUGAUUAAUAGUGGGCAAUUAAUAAUUGUUGUUAUUAUGGGCAGUUUUGAAUGUAUGUGUUUUUACACAAUGGAAACAAAUAGGGGCGUUAAAAAAAGAAUUAUGUAAGCCACCCCAACUGACAAUAUGUAGAAUCCUCUAUGACACAUGCAGAAAUAUUGCACUUCUUGAAAAUGUCUCAGCUAAAUAUUUCCUCAAUUGUUUUGGCACUAUUCUUGGAUGGGAAUUCUUUUUUCAUAUCUCUAUAUAAUUAGUUUAUUGAACACACCAGAUUUGAAUUUCUCAUUAAUUUAAUCAAAUUGCACGUGUUUUGGCACGUGUACAAUAGAGUAAGUACAAUUGUCUAUAAUCUGCACAAUACCUAUAUGCACAUGGCUUGCUGAAAUUGUCAUACUCUUCAAAACUUCAAAACUUUCUUUCAUCGUUUGAGCCAUCACAUGCAAAAUGAUCCAUUCACUUAUCAAAAUCUGUCAGACAUACAUGUUAAGAAUGAGAAAAAUUAUUCUCAUUCUAGAAAUUGGCCAAAACAAUUGAGAAAAACUGUAAUAUAAUCUGCAAUGACUUGUGAAGCAAGGUUAAUGUAUGUAUAAAUACAUGUAUGUAAA